AAAACUUAAUAAUUUGACGGCAUUUUAAAUCAUAAAGGAGUUUGUAAUUUAAUCGUCAACACACGCUUAAUCUUACUUAUAAAAGUUUGUAUACCUCCGUCAAAGAUUUUAUUAAAAAAUAACAUAAAAUUUCAAAACCCAAAUAGAAAUAAAUCAGGUCAAGGUGCAACUUAUUAAGUAAUUAUGAACUACAAUCAAAAAAUAAAGAUACGAAUUAAUCCUGAAAAUAAUUUUAAAGGUGAAUUUAUAAGUAAAGUAAAAUUAGAAAAUUAACUUGAAAUAAUUAAAAUGUGUACACAUCG
rnacentral:rRNA from 1 species